UUUCAGGGAGAAACUGUUCUUUUUCUAUAA
rnacentral:piRNA from 1 species